rnacentral:lncRNA from 1 species
AAAUUUAUUUAUAAUAUUACACAUUAAAACAAAAUUUAUAUCAUGUAUAAAAUUAAAAAUCUAACAAUUUAAAUUUUUUUUUUACACUAAAUAAAGUGAUCCUUGGCAGUGAAGUUCGGCAUUUGGUUUCUAUAACAUUCCAAGCAUAAUUGCAAUGAAGUGCCUAACAUUUCUCAUAUGAUACAAACAACUACAAAUGAAAUAUUCAUGGGUAAAGCAUUAUGGGAGAAUAUGACAUUGUCUCUCCUACAUAAAGUGUAUAUAAACUCUAUCUUAUGCAAUACAAAAUAAUUAUCUACAAAUCUAAUAUAUUUUGUUAGUGCAGAGAGAAUGGGAAUUAAAGAUAUAUAUAUAUAUUGCACGGGACUUGCUUUGGUACCUACAUAGCCAAAGGAUCCUCGUCUGAAAAUUGCAUUAAAGACUGCGUGAUACCGGAAUCAGUGGUGGAGACUGUCAAAGACACCCACCACACCAGCAGCUCCAGAUUUUGCAAGCUUGUAUGUACUACCAUUUUAUGUUCAAAGCUUAGCACCAAAGAAAAUAAGGAAAAAAGAAAAAAGAUACCGGGGUUUUCUUUGGUGCUAAGCUUUGAACACAAAGUGGUAGCACAUUUGCAGAAGGUGGAGCUGCUGCUGUGGUGGGCGUCUUUGACAGUCUCCACCAUUGAUUCCGGUAUCACGCAGUCUUUAUUGUAGUCUCCAGCCGAGGAUCCUUUGGCCAUGAAGGUACCAAAGCAAGUCCCGUACGAUAUAUAUAUCUUUAAUUCCCUUUCUCUUUGCAGUAACAAGAUAUAUUAGAUUGCAGAAGGUAUUUAACACCGGUUGACGGAAAAUACAUAAAUAAAGUUAUAUUUAUAUAUUUAUACCCCAAAUCCUGAAGUGUAUUUAACACCAGUUGACGGCAACCACAAGUCUCCUUCAAUGAAUUGAGCUACUGUAAAAUUAACAGCUUGAGCUGAGUUAUUUAAAACAUGGUAACCAGGCCACUUAACUCGCUCACUAAGGCUAGCCCCUGGCCCAUUAUUCAUGUACUCGGCAUAGUAUAAUGUAUCCAAGGCAAAAUCUUGGUUCCAUUCAAGCCACCCUUGUGGCCUUAUGGCAUCACUAAUGUAGGAUUGCAUGAUAAUGGUCCUUGAAUAUAGUUUCCAUGGUCUUCCCAAGUAUGUAGGAGUGGAGUUAACUGAAGGUAAUAAGUCUGUAUCGGCCGAGAUGUUGCAGAACUGGAUGGAGAAGCCAGUUGGUUGGUUCGGGUCUUUGCGACCUUGCGCGGUGAUGGUAUUUUUCUGGUUUGGUAAGCCUUGCUUGGCUAAGAUUUGGCAAUUUUGAAACAAAAC